AAAAAUCCCCAGAUCUGGCCUCUAAUUCAAUUUCAUCCCCUAAAUCCCUAAAUCCCCUAAAUCCCCAGAUCUGGCCUCUAAUUCACCUCCCUCCCGUCCUCGCCGUCGCCUCCCUCCCGAAGUCGUCGUUGACCGAAUCGCAGGAACCAGAACUCCAAGAUUUCGUCGUCGCCUCCUCUCUCGUCCGCGAGCAUCGUCGUCGCCUCCUUCCUCCGGAUCUAAAGGAUAAUAUUGUUGCCGCGUCGAAGGAUGCAGCACUACGUGCUACCCAAGAAGCUGAUGAUGACCCUCAUGUCUUGUCUAGAGAGGAAAAUAAUGCUAUUGCAAUGAAUGUGAUGGGGUAUAAUAACCGGGGCAAAUUUCCAUUGAUGGGGGUUGGAGCUCAGCGGGGUACCUCCAGAUUAUCCUCCACGGCAUCCUCGACAGCCUCGACUGCGACAACAUCAUCAGACAGAACCCUUGCAUCUUCUACAAUUAUGCGCGUCAACCGUUAUCUGCGCGGUAAGAUCGACCGUACAUUACUCAUGCAGGUGACGACGGCUAUGUGUUCAGAUUUGCCUCCAUCCCCUACUAGCGACGAUGUUUUUACACACAUCGUUUUAUGCUUGUCCGGGAAGAUUUCAGCUGAAUUAUUUGAAGAAGUUUUGGACCAAUUAGAUUUAGACGUUGGCGCACAGGCUGGACUUGCUGGAGGAAGCAGUAGUGGCGUGCAGAGGAGGGAACUUGACGAUGAUGAGCACUCUUGAUUUUAUGAGGUCAUUGAGUUUGGGAGUAUUCAUUUGCAUCAAGUGCUCAGGUGUUCACGGAAGUCUUGGAGUUCAUAUAUCAAAGGUGCAUGUGUUUCUUUGAGCUUCUCUGGAGAAAAUGGACUUGGAUAUCGGUUUGUAAACCGUCAUUGUAUUACUUUGUUGACAUUGUGAGUUGAUUCAGUUGUGCGGCAAAUUUAUAAGUGUAUGUGUGGCAAAUAUAUAAGCUGACAUUGUGUUACUUUGUUGUGUGAAAAAACAAAGUUUAUAUGUGGUUACUUUGUUGGUGUAUGAUUUAUUUAUGAAAAAACAUAUGUUACUUUGUUGUGUGAUUUAUUUAA